GAUCCCAUGACCCUGAGAUCCUUACUGCAGUUGAAAUCAAGAGUCCUGAACACUUAACUGACUGACCCACUCAGGUGCCCUUAGGAAACACUGUUUUCUCCUCACUUCUCCUUAUUGAAGUGACCGUUUCAUACCCUUUCACUGGACCUUAGUUAUAGGUAAAGUAGCCAAAAGGAAAGGACUAAAUAUUUGGAAAAAGCAAGUUUUCCAGUUGGAAUAGACUCAGUUGAAAUGAGUUAUGAUUGUAAUCUGUUAUUGGAGGGUUGUUUCUAUUUCUUUCAUUAAGUUAACAGGUCUGUAUGAGAUGUAUUAAUGCUUGAUAUGUCUUUGCCCUUUCUUACCUUAUAGAAAGAAGCUAUAUUAUGUUUAAGCACUCUGGCUCAGAUUCAUGCACAGGUAGUUGAUACUAAACAAAAGCCUUAGACUACUAAUAAGCAGAAGCUAAGUAAAUAAGUAGGUAAGAGAAGAAAUUUCGAGGCUAUUUUCUUCCUUUGUUUUGGCAGUCACUUAACCUCUGGUGGAAUUCGCUGGCUUGCAGUAUGCUUACUAAGUAUUGAGUUUUUGUGUCAUCUUGAUUUAUUGAAAGAAUCCUACUGUAAGAUCUUGUGAGAAAAAAUAUUUGAAAAGUUUGAAAGACAUGAGGUAUGCUUUGGUGUGCUUGUUAUUAUUCUAAGGUAUUGAAAUUAUGUUCAGUGCUUUUUUUGUUUUUUUGUUUUUUUUGUUCAGUGCUUUUUUAACAGUAGUACAAGUCAGUAUCAACUAGAAAUGUUAUAUUCGUGUUCAUAACCAUAAGAAAAUGCGCCUUUUAGAAAAUAUGUGAUUGUGUUAAUCUUACUUAUCAUGGAGUUUGGUGGGUCCUCUUCUUCUGUGAGUUUUCAGCCUUCAUCUCUCACCUGGUUUCACAGGCCAUGCAUUUUCCAUUGGGCUUCAUAGCUUUAGGGCCAUGGAAGACUAAUGGAGUUAAGUAGUCUGAAGGGAACUUGGCUUUGUGAGUACUGUUUUAGAGUUAACUAGAUGCAAAUGAUUAUGUUAAAAUAACCAGAUAAUUACCCAAAGCUACAGCAAUAAAUUGACAGAUGAAAAAAAUAGGAAAAAUUACCCCCCUACCCCCACCCCAUCUAGGAAUGCUGUCAGCAGUUACUAAUAAUCCUGAUAGUUUUCUUACCUGGACAUCACUAGAUUGAAUUUGAGGAAGAUACAAAUUCAGGUCAGGCAGUGGUCAGUAAAAGUUAGGUGCCUUUUACAUUCUUGGAGGGAAUGUCUUCUGGGGUUCUGGGGAGAGAUCCAAGAACGAGCAUCCUGUGUAAAUUCCCAUGGAUGUCUUGAAAGUUUUAAACACAUCAAUUUAGUUUAGACAGAGUUUUUCAUAUCACAGCUUUUGCUUAUAAUAAAUGAGAGUGCCAUCUAUUUCCUAAAUUAGUGUUUUUUCUGGAAAUAAAAGUUGAUAGAUUCGUGUGCUUUUUGGUUAUAUUUAUAUAAUAUAGUUCCUGCCUUUCUAAUGCUGAGUAAUGUUAUUUUCUUUCAUUUUGAUAUAAGUCAUUCAGAGUAUUUUCAGAGAUGCCUGGAUGAGAACUGAAGCACAGGGCUUCAUGGCUCAUGUACAGUAAUGUCCAGUUGGCCUUACUCUUCCCUCUUCAGAGAGCUGUUUUCCUACUUCUGUGAUUUGUUCAGGACCUGGUUUCAUCGAGUGUGAAGUCAGCGGUAGUGAAUGUUAAAUGUGGAUUCUACUUAGUUAAUUAAGGGAUAAUAGGACUCCAGGCCUAAAGGAGGAUAUUUUCUGAACUUUACAGCUUUCUUUUUUUUUUUUUAAGUAUUCUCCACACUCAGCGUGGACUCCAGUGUGGGGCUUGAACUCAUGACCCUGAGAUCAAGACUGGAGCUGAGAUCAAGAGUCAGAUGCUUAACGGACUGAGCCACCGAGGCACCCCUACAGUUUUUUAAAAGGGCAAUAACAAAUCAUAUUUUGAACCCUGAGCCAAUGACUGGGCAACUCGUUUAUAACAUGAUUGUGGACAGUUUUGGAAAUGUCUCACACUGCUAGAACUUCUUAGGGAGAGGUUAGUUACUCUUCAUCAGUAAGGCAGCUUCAGGUAAACUCCAUGUAUUUACUUGGGACUCACCUAACCAAACUGCCAAGGUGUUUUUCCGAUCCUGGACACCCUGAGAAGAAAAGGCUGCUAAAAGUUCUUAAAACCUUCCCUAUCUAUUACCUUAGCUAUAUUAUAUUAACUGCAUUAUUAGCUAUUUACUAUAAUAUUAUAAUUGAUUACAUUACAUACUUAACAGAUUAUGUAAUUAUAUGUUAAAUACAUAAAUAUAAUUAUUUAUUAUAUUGGAUAUGUUAUUAAGUAUAGCUUCCCUAUAGUUGUUGGAAGUGAGAUUCUCCAUCUAAUCCUGAAGAAUAACAGAGCUGUUGGAGGAAGUUCUUUUUCCACAUCGCAGUAGGUUUAUACAAAAGCCUUAUUGGAAUUUUUAGGGGCUUAAUAGUAGAUCUUCUAAAUAUAUAUAGGGAGAAGACCUGACAAAAGCUUAUAGUCUCUUCUGGAAAUCAGGGCUCCUUGGUAGGGGUUUUAAAACCUGAGAAAGCGUUUUUUUCAUAUGUUUCUACAUAUAGUAUAAGAGUUUAUGGCAAGAUUACAUAGAUAUCUGCAUUGAAUGUUAACCACAAAGUUUAGUGCUUUUUAGAUAGGCCAAGAUGGUUUAAAAUGAAAUCUUAUAGUUAGUAUCUCACCUUCAAAGAAAGAAUUCUAAAUACUACAUGUAAAGAACAUCACAGUUUCUUUUUGACUGGCUGAUGGAAUGUGUGAGAAAGGAGAAGUUUAUGAAUUUUGAGUUUAGAGAACUACACAUUUCUUCCUUAAAACCUCCCAUCAUUGAAAUGCUGAACAAAUUAAGUUUUGUGAACCUCACUGCCUUUCUCAGACCCUGGAUACUUGCUUAUUUUUCUCUUUUUUGGAAGUGGGGAGAGAAUUGCGGGGGGUUUUGUUUGUUUUUGUUUUUUUACUUCCCUUUACAGCUCUGGGGUCUUUUAUUUCCCGUUUACAUUUUGGUUGUUAAUUCUAGUUAAAGGUCUUGCUUAAUGGGAACAAUGGCAUUCUUUGAGAAUUUAAUUUUAUCCUUUGUAAUGUUUUCAGAGCUUAAUAUUUUCCAUUUGUAAAAGCGUACACACUUCUGAGCCAUUUGAAAUCACUUAUGUGGCUGGGUUCAUGGCUCAGGACUUGCUGGUCUUUUAAAAGUCAUAUAUUAUCACAUAGUAAAAAAAGCUGACUUUCAGGGCAGAAUCCUGUGAUAGUUCUACUCUGGGUCAUAAGCCAUAUUUUAACAUGGAAAAUGAAUAGGAAAUGUGUGAAAUUUAAUGGCCUGUAAGUUACUGCUGUGAGAAAAGGAGAAAAUAUAUUCUAUAAAAGAACUUGCACAAAGAGUCUUUGGACACUUUGCAGUCUGUUCUAUUGUCACUAAGUUCUAUGAAUUGUUACCCCCUGAAGUCAGCCUGCUUUCUGUGUUCUUCACACCAGCAAACAGAAGCCAGAAUGUACAGUACUUUUAAUAAAGAGCUUUACAGAUAAGAAGUGCUGUACUACUCUUUCCUCGUAGCCAUAGCAUCGAUUAUGCCUACAGCAAAAUUGGGCUGAGCUUGUCACCAUGAAACAAUUAGACAAAAAGAAACACAGACUGAAAUUCAAGAAAUUGUUUCUGACUCUGAGAGAUAAUGAAGAUUCAUAUGGCUAAGGAGACUCCUCAGAGAGCACAAGGAGGGGGAGCAGCUGGCAGAGGGAGAGAGAGAAGG